UAAUUAAAAUGUAACUUUUAAAAAAUGUAAAUAAUUAAUCACAUUUUCCUUUCCUUAAUGUAUUAUGAUUUCUAUAGAAGUGGACAUUACACCGAAACAUUUAAUAACACAAAACCACAAUUAAUUAAUCAACCUGAUUUUGUUCAAAUAUUUAGAUGACUUUGUUUUAUUUAUAAGAGUGGAAUUGCAAUGGGAGUAAAUGCAUUUCUAAAAUGUUGUUUUGUCUUUGUUCUUCAUAGGGUAGUAACCUAAGCUGUCCUGCGCUUGGCGUUUUAAUGUGUCCAUUCCUGUUCUUGAUUGCACUCCGAGGUCACCAGGAUCUAAAGUCACUGGAAGCAGUUAAAAUAAUAGGAGCUGACCACAUGUUGGAGGUUAUGAGAUGCGGCCCCCCGACAUACAGAGGAGCCGCUGUUGGGAACACUGCUGUUGUGUCUCGCUGACCUGUUUGUUUAAAACUUAUACAAAUAUUUGUGUAAACUGAUUUACAGCAAACAUUUGAUGCAAGUUAUUGCUGAUAUUUGAAUACAAAUACACAAAAACCCACAUAAACUAAGCUCUUUUUCUUUCCAUUUUUUAGAUGACUCUGCUUCUUUUCGUGUAAUGGUCAAACAGCAGAGCGUGGAGCCGGCAACACUAAGCAUGCUCUGCCGGUGACAUAGAUGUCAGGUCAUUGUCAGGAAACGGGGCCAUUUCUGCACUGCAUAUCCCAUGACAUACUACAGCAUGGCGGUGACGGCAGGACCCUUGUGUAUCUCAAUCACUUUUUAUUCGCCCCCUUCUCCCAUAUCUAUCUCAUAACUCCAGACACCAGCACACAGCGGCUGUUUGCUCUGGUCUGUGGAGCAGCGAUGAAGAAGCAUCACAGAUGAGAUCACGUAUCUCAAAAAGAUUCAGUUGAGACUGCUUGCUUGUGAGAAAAGACUCCAGUAAUCCUGCGUUUGAAGUAUGCAAUCAAAAGUAAAAGAUCUCAGUAUGAAGUCAAAUACUUCUCAUCAAAUUAUCUGAUAAUGCUAUUAGCAUUCAUUUUAUAGCUAUGUGUGUCAACAAUGGUCUCAUGUAUUUAUUUUUUGUUUCUUAAGGAAUCGUACUAGAAACUUCUAAGACAUACAUAAAUUAAACAUAAAUGAGAUUCAAGUAGUUUUUAUAUACUGCAAAAUGCUUUGUUUUAUGCACUUUCUGUAAAAAUGUCUUUUAUGUGUAUUAUACAGUAUACAUGCAUAUAUUAAUUGUCUGGAAAUGCGUUAUGUUCUUCCAGCGAGUGUUUUCCUUCAUUAGGAUGGUGUGACAGACAGGCAUACAGCUGAUGGGGGAGUUUAUGGUGAGAAGUGUCCUCGGCAGGGGUCUCCGUUGACUGUGUGGCCCUUUCUCCCCCUCACACUUUUAUUGUUUGUUGAUGGAAGCAGUUGUCAUACUCUGGCAAUAACAAAAGCAGGCCCAUCACUCUGUUUACCUCUGCACAGGAACCAAUGGGCAAUUCUCCAUUAAAUUACAGCCAUGUGUGGAAUCCAGAUGCGUCUCCCCCCUCCAUCUCCUCACACACGCAUUUAAAAGUUGGUGUGAGAUUCAGUAGCUUAUUUUGCCUUCCUUCCUUCUUUCUUUUUCUUUCUUUGUGAAUUUUCAAGAAACAUUUCUUAUUAUUAUUAAUGUUGAAAACAGUUGUGCUCCUUAAUAUUUUUAUAGAGACAGUGAGACUUUUUUUUCAGGAUUCUUUGAUAAAUAGAAAGUUCAAAAGAACAGUGUUUAUUUAAAAUAGAAAUCUUUUGUAACAUUAUAAUGUUUACUGUGACUUCUAAUCAAUUUAAUGUGUCCUUGCUAAAAACAAAAUAUGCAUUUCUUAAAAAAAAAAAAAAAACAUCUUACUGGCCCCAAACUUUGAAUGUUAGGUAAUACUGUAAGAGAAAAAAUAUCAAAAAUAUGUAUUUCUUAUAUAUUAAACUACAUUUCUUUCAUUUUUUCUAUAUUUCAUGUUAAAAAAUCCUUUCACAGUACAAAAAUGUUGACUGUAUGUGAUGUGGUGCAGUAUUUUCCUGCUGAAAAACAUUCUUUUAUCUUCUUCAUCCUCACAACAAUAAACUUCAGAACACUUUAAAUGUAACAGGGUUAGAUUUUCAAAAACACAUUUUGAAAGAAAUGUUUCAUUUAAGUAUCCAUUUGUGUCUCAGAUGUUUAUUCUAAAAUUCUUUAGGAGUAUAGACACAAAUGAGAUGAUGCUGACAUACAGUAUAAUCAUUUAGAGCUAUAAAAUUUAUAUGGAUAACAGCUCAGAUCAUUUAAUACACUCUU